AGGACUUGGCUCGCUCCGUGAACAGUUCGGUCAGUGUGAGUGUUCACAGUGGCUAAGUUCCGC
rnacentral:pre_miRNA from 1 species